UAAAUUUCCAGGGCUGAAAAAGGAAUACAGUAACCCACAGUCCAAAGCAGUGAGCACAGCACAGCCUGCAUCUCUCAGUGCUUGGGGCAAAGAGGGGAGUUACCGCAGUGGACUACUUUGUCCUUGCUCCCACCAUUCACCCAGGCUUUUCCUCAUCAGUUUGUUACCCAGAAUAUUCUUACGUGUUCUGUCUUUCCUUCCUAAAGUAACAUUGACGUGUUUUUUUUUUCUUUACAGGCAGAAUUUUAUAAAUCCUUGGGCUGUUGCUGCUGCUCCUCUGACAUGGCCCAUCAUCAGAAUACCAGCUCUGCUGGCAACUAGGCAGCCUGGAAAUAAAAGCUGACAGGCUGGAUGCAGCGCUGAUGUUGAUGGGGAGGUGUUUGGCUGCACCACCACUGCACCAGAGUCUGAAUAAGAGGGAGGAAUCAGGUUUCCACUCACACGUAUGAAAUCACCUUUAAAAUACCCUGGCCCAGCUCUUCUUGUUGGUGACACCUCUGGAAUAUCCCAAAAUGGCAGGAUCCAUGGGCAAACAGGAGGUCAGAGCUCUGAGGUACCUCCAUGCAGUCUGGCCCCAGUCCUUCGCCCUGCAGCUCCAUCACCAAGGACUCACCUGCGUACAGGGAGGCUGGGUUGGCACUCAGAGAACUUCUGGGUGCCAGCAGACAGAAGCAAGCUCAGAUUAGCUUCAUGACUGCGUAGCCCGCUAGACUUCAGAAGGCUGCAUUACUGCAUGCAAAUAAAUGUGAAACCCCUUCUGAGAUGGUAGUGGAAGCUCGGUGAAUGACCGUAACACAGAAUACGUAACUCAGAGAGAGAUUCAAGAAACAGUUUGUACAGCCAUGCCAACAGCCCCAAGCUUACUAUGUAAGGUCUUCUCUGCCCCGCGGGCUGGGCUGGACAAACACAGCAGUCGCCUACAGCCGGAGCGGGGUGCUGCUGGCAGAGGAAUGCGGCCAUCCAGGUAUUGCCUUCGGUUUGCAGCCACCCUGCCCGAGUAUAAGGACUUUCCACCCAGCUCGUUUGCCUGGUGAUUUAUGCCUAAAUUGACGGAGUCCUUCGGAGGCAUUCGUGUUAAAUUUGAAACAAACAUAUUUAAUGCUUCUGUUGUAAUAAAACAGCUCAAAGAGCAGAUUAAAAAGAUAUGCACAGAGGGCUCCGAUUGAUUGAGGGAUUGAUUUUACUACUUUUCCCGUAGGUGGGUAGUGAUGGCCGUAAAUCUCUCGAUAAUCAUUUCAGAAGCACCUUCAUCAAUAAACUCGGAAGGGACAGCGAGGUGUAAAAAAUGCGCCGGCCAUCGGGUCAGACAAAGGCAGCAAACGUGCAAAGAGAGAACGGAAUUAAACAAUCCCACCUUGGCCGCCUAUGGCUUUAGUCACGUCCGCUUUUAUCUCGGGGGCGGGGGAGUUCCCCAUGGCUGCGAUUCUGUGAGAUUUGGGGCAGAGAGAGGGGGAGGCU